UACGGGGGGGGCAAGCGUUGUUCGGAAUUACUGGGCGGAAAGGGCUCGUAGGCGGCCAACUAAGUCAGACGUGAAAUCCCUCGGCUUAACCGGGGAACUGCAUCUGAUACUGGAUGGCUUGAGUUCGGGAGAGGGAUGCGGAAUUCCAGGUGUAGCGGUGAAAUGCGUAGAUAUCUGGAGGAACACCGGUGGCGAAGGCGGCAUCCUGGACCGACACUGACGCUGAGGAGCGAAAGCUAGGGGAGCAAACAGG
rnacentral:rRNA from 1 species